GAAAUGCGAUAAGUAGUGUGAAUUGUAGAAUUCAGUGAAUCAUCGAAUCUUUGAACGCACAUUGCGCCCCUUGGUAUUCCAUGGGGCAUGCCUGUUCGAGCGUCAUCUACACCCUCAAGCUCUGCUUGGUGUUGGGCGUCUGUCCCGCCCCCGCGCGUGGACUCGCCCCAAAUCCAUUGGCAGCGUUCCUUGCCCCCUCUCGCGCAGCACAUUGCGCUUCUCGAGGGCGGCUCCGGGACGCGAUCCAGCAAGAUGACCACCGUCUUUGACCUCGGAUCAGGUAGGGAUACCCGCUGAACUUAAGC
rnacentral:misc_RNA from 1 species